UUGUUUUUUUUCGAAGAAAAGAGCCAGGUUCAGGUAAGAGUGUAAGAUCAAAUGGUUUAUCGAUCAAGAGUAAUGUUGUAGGUUGGAUCAAUGUAUCAGUGUUUAUAUCUGUUAUCAGAUAUAAAACACAUUGUUUGGUUAUUUGCCUUUAGAUUGACAUUACAAAGAGAUAGAGAGGAUGUUAUUUAUUUGUAUUCUUAUUGGUAUUUUUUCAUAUUUAUAUAAUUUUUCCUCUAGCUGAAUACAAUCUAUUUGUGUAUGAUUGCCAGUCCAAAGAGGAAGAGAUGAAAAAGGGGAAGAAGAGGAGAGAGUGCAAAGUCAGGAAGAACCAGGAAGAGAACAAGGAGAGACUCUGAGAGAUGAGAGCGUGCAGACCAGGGAAAGAAAUGCUGUGCAUCACAUUUCAAAUAAAAGUCAAAAAAUAAGUCCUAGG